rnacentral:rRNA from 1 species
GAUGAACGCUGACAGAAUGCUUAACACAUGCAAGUCAACUUGAACUUCGGUUUGGGUGGCGGACGGGUGAGUAACGCGUAAAGAACUUGCCUCACAGCUAGGGACAACAUUUGGAAACGAAUGCUAAUACCUGAUAUUAUGAUUUUAGGGCAUCCUAGAAUUAUGAAAGCUAUAUGCGCUGUGAGAGAGCUUUGCGUCCCAUUAGCUAGUUGGAGAGGUAACGGCUCACCAAGGCGAUGAUGGGUAGCCGGCCUGAGAGGGUGAACGGCCACAAGGGGAAUAGAAACGGGCCCUCACUCCGACGGGAGGAAGCGUGGGGAAAAUUUGAACAAGGGACCCAAAGUUUUACCCAGCAUUCUUGUGGGAAAAAUAAAUUUUUUCGGAAUUAAAAUUGCUUUAAUUUGGAAAAAAAAAAAGAACGGUACAAAAAAAAGAAGGACCGCCAAAAUACUC